AAUAAGCUUUAUUUUUAAUCCGCCACGGGCGAAGAGUAACUGAACUCCAAGCUGUUAUUUUCUUAAAGCUGCAAUCAUGAGCAGAGUAAAAAUUCUGAACAACGGGAGGUAAACUACAGACACAAAAUCGAGCAACAGAGUUAACAGGUAAUGAGCACCCAAUUGCAAAAAGGUGAUGUGAAACGGUCAGUGCGCGGUAGUACCUGGGGCUACACAGCUAAAGUCAGGGACGAAGCUGCAUUGUAGUUACUGGGGUCAAUUGACCAAUGAAUUUAGGAAAUCCUUCACUAAUUUGCACUAAUCACUACUGAUUGAUAGAAGAUGACCCCACUGCCAUGGAUAUGACCCCAUCAAACUAUUUUCUCAGCUUGUCUCUGGCUAAAGUAUGUAAGAAUCUUGAGCACAAAGCUGAUAUCAAUCACACCUUGAGUGACUUGAGCACAAAGCUGAUGCGGUAUGUCCCAACAUUCGGUUCCCCAGCGUCAUCAUUUGCUUAAGCUGCAACCAAGGAGCACAACCAGGGUAAGAACUCUGACUGCUGCAGAUAAACUACAUACAGACAGAGAAUCAGGUAACAGAGUAACAGCUUCGGGGUAACAGUAACAGCGACUGCUGGAAAUAAACUACAUAUACAGACACAUAAUUAUUUACAUGAGUGAUGUUUUCAACGAUUACUUCGGAAAAUAUUGAAGAAUCUGGUGGGUCUGGUACAAUGUAGUGCAGGUGAUGUGAAAGGGUUAGUACGUGAUACCUGGUGCGCCUGGUAUUCCAGUGUGGAAAAGGGUUAUUGCAGCUAAAGUACGUAAGGAAUCUUGAGCACAAAGCUGAUGCAGUGUGUCACGUCACAUCUUGAGUGCAAAAAAGACUUGAGCACCGAAGCUGAUGCGGUAUGUCACAUCACCGUGCACAGUGUACCACGGAUAGCAUGUCACGGGUGCCAACUUCAGUUCCCACCAUCGUUGUUUGUUUAAGCUGCAACCAAGGAGCACAUCUAGGCCAAAAAUUCUGACAGUGAUGUACCCAUGUAACUAUACUAGAGAGCACAGAGUAAAAAGUGUCACUGCUAAAAACAAACUAUAGACACUGAAUCAUGUACAUCUCAACUCAGGGAAUCAAGACGUAAAAACCUCUAAACAGUGGACAUGAAUUGAUAGAUUCAGAAGCAAGCAAACUAGUAACUCCAAUUGAUGGAUUCUAAGCUAUCUGCGCUAAGUAACAGUAACUGAACUCUAUCCCCAAUUUCAGCUGUUGUUUGCUUAAAGUUCAACCAUGAGCAGAGUAAGAGUUCUGAUUGCUGGAGAUAAACUGCAGAAAUAUAAUGUGCUAGUGUUAAUCUGCUCCCGAUGAUGAUGAUGACUCUAGUACAUGCCCAUGUGGAUGUGCACCUGGACGUGGUAGUGGCGUACUUGAUACAGCGUGAAGGAGAUGACCAUGGCCGUGACCUCAUACGCCAUGCCGCAGGAAGACCACAGCGGGUCGGUCAAUUAUAGGUGGGCCAGUCAUGCUCUGUUCCUGAUAAAUCACGUCACACAUUUCGCUUGCGGAUUCCGAAUUGUUUGC
rnacentral:lncRNA from 1 species